rnacentral:tRNA from 1 species
GCCCGGAUGGCGAAAUUGGUAGACGCAAGGGACUUAAAAUCCCUCGACCUUAACGGUCGUGCCGGUUCGACUCCGGCUCCGGGCACCA